rnacentral:lncRNA from 10 species
UGGUGUGAUCUCUGCUCACUGCAGCCUCUGCCUCCUGGGUUCAAGAGAUUCUCUUGCCUCAGCCUCCCAAGUAGCUGGGAUUAUAGGCGCUUGCCACCACGCCCAGCUAAUUUUUUUUUAGUAGAGACGGGGUUUCACCACGUUGGCCAGGCUGGUCUCGAACUCCUGGCCUCAGGUGAUCUGCCCACCUCGGCCUCCCAAAGUGCUGGGAUUACAGGUGUGAGCCGCCGCGCCUGGCCU